rfam:Trichobilharzia regenti genome assembly, scaffold: TRE_scaffold0009823
AUUCAGAUGACGAACCCCAAAUAGGACGAAAUGCGCAUCCUGGAU